GCGGCGGGGUGUGGGUAAAAGUAUUUGUAUUCGUCGGAAGUGUACGAAUUAUAUAUAGUAAAUGCCAUAAGAACAGGUUCAUUUGUUCCAUUCGAUUCUUUAUAAUUUUGGCAGUUAGCAGCAGCCAAACUUUAAUUUUCAUGGGAACCGCAAGUGCUCUCCCAUACAGCAGAAUUUUUCUUUUUUUUUAUAUAUAUAUAAAGCAGCGGUAGCCUUAGGCCGUUCAUUCAGUUAGAGAGUGUUUUGCCGACUUGUCUUCCCUGCCUGCAAUGAAUUUCCUGAAAAUUAUCUUCGUUAUUAUGUUGGUCGUAUCCGGUGCAAAUGCUGCGUCUUAUUACUUCUGGAGGACAAAGCUGCUUCCAAAUGGGUCGCGUAGUAAAACUAUAUGUGAUAUUAGGGAACUUCAUGAAACACGUGCUCUUGAUUAUGUAAACAUUGGAUGGCAAAUGCAAUCAAGCCGAGUGUGUGGAUUACACUCCUGUUUUUUUUUUAAUAAGUUCCAUCCAGCAGCUUCUGAUUUUUUGUACUGCCAACACCCAGCUCUUUUUGCAGAGUGUGAGACUUAUGGAGUAGACACAACAGUAGAUUGGCCCGAAUGCUGUUGGAAGUGUGUCGAUUUUAAAAAAUGUUAGCUCUGAAGUUUCGAUUAUCAGUUCAUGUUACAAUUAUGUAUGCAAACAUGCGAAAUAAAUACAUUACAUUAUUACUCUGAA